CACCGGCGGCCCGAGUGGUGAUCGUGAUUAUUGGGUCUAAAGGGUCCGUAGCCGGUUUGGUCAGUCCUCCGGGAAAUCUGAUAGCUCAACUAUUAGGCUUUCGGGGGAUACUGCCAGACUUGGAACCGGGAGAGGUAAGAGGUACUACAGGGGUAGGAGUGAAAUCUUGUAAUCCCUGUGGGACCACCUGUGGCGAAGGCGUCUUACCAGAACGGGUUCGACGGUGAGGGACGAAAGCUGGGGGCACGAACCGGAUUAGAUACCCGGGUAGUCCCAGCCGUAAACGAUGCUCGCUAGGUGUCAGGCAUGGCGCGACCGUGUCUGGUGCCGCAGGGAAGCCGUGAAGCGAGCCACCUGGGAAGUACGGCCGCAAGGCUGAAACUUAAAGGAAUUGGCGGGGGAGCACCACAAGGGGUGAAGCUUGCGGUUU
rnacentral:rRNA from 1 species